ACCAUGCGUCAGACAUUUGACGAGUAGGGAGUGAGACUGUGUUGCUUUAACCUGUUCCCCUCAAUAUUUUUGUUAUUUUAUUUUUGUCUUGUUAUUCCAGUCUGUCCACAUCUGUGCUCAAACUCUCACCAGGAAUACAAUUUCCACAACAAUUUUGGCACCCCAGAUGGGACGGACACAUGAUUUGGACUCGAGUGAAGUGCGGAGGCCUACUUAGAUAGUGGAUUCCUCCCUGUGGGUGAGAAGCUGCAUUCAACUGAGCCCUGGUCAUCGCUCCGGUCCUGGAUAAGAACUUACAUGGUGUACACUGCAAAAAAUCCAUUCCGGCUAGAUCCUGACCUGGACUCCGCACCGCUUCCUCCUCCAGCUUUGAACCAACCGCAAGAUCCAAACCAGCAGCUCCAAGGAGCGCACGUUUAAACCCAGAAGAGACUGAAACCAAAGCCGCAACAACAGCUGUGGCUGCGGGAGGGCCAGUAACGCUUCAAGUUGCAAUGAAGACUGAGGGAGAGGGCUCUGGAGGUGUCAGGACACAGGUGCCUCAGAGACGUGGCUCCGUUUGCAGAGGUGAAAAGUGCAUUGCCCUCAGUGGCCAGGUUGUGGCCCUCUCCACAACCUGAAACCUGGAGACUGGGUACUCAUCAAGGACCACAGGAGAAAGCAUGGGAAGCAACGGUGUUUCCGGGAUCCCUUCCAAGUUCUUCUAACCACCGAAACCGCAGUGAAAGUCACAGGACGGGAUACCUAUGUCCACGCCAGCCACUGUAAGCCUAUCCCGGAGCCCUGCGACAACGUUGAGCCCUCCAUCCAUAUCCACAUCCCAACCCAACCGGCUCGAGCUCAGCGGACCAGACGUGCUGAGGACAGCACACCGGAAGGGUAACUUACCUGUGUUUCAGGUAACAACAAGUCACUAUAUUCUCCGUAUUUUUAAUUGACCGUACAUAUAGGCAUAGGUACAUAACACUCAUUGCUCCACGCAGACGUGAGUGGGGGGGGGGGGGGAGCAGUCAGCCAAACACUACACUACACGUAUUUGAACUACAGAGUGACCAACGAGGAAUCGAUGAUGGAAUCCAGCUCUACAUGGCUGUGGCACCCUUUCUGGUUCCCAGGAUGGAAACGGCUAGGUCUCAGGGGUUCAAUGUUGUUUUUGGCUGGUAUUUCUGUGAUUAUAGUGUUUCCCGUUCUGUAUGUGUUUGACAAACGUCCACCUGCAUCCAACUCAACCAUCGACUGAUACCACAUAGUCUUAACAGAUCAAAGCGAGCAGUAACACCACUGACGUUGCCACUGGAGGGGAAUGCCUGGUACAGAGUAUUGAAUAGUUCUGUGCGUGCCACGUAAAUUCUAGUUGCUGUGCAUGUAUGACCGGAAAGCUACGCUCUAGGCAGUUGCCUCUGCCUUAUUUAGCCUGCGUGGAACACUCGCAUGUAGUUUCCAAAUUUAAACCUUUUCCACUCUCCGACGUUCACCAGACCCCGGCCGGGGCCUGGGACUGCAUGCUCACACGCGGCUACAGAAUCGGCAUGGCCCAGUUAGCCACUUAUGCUGAAUGUCCACUCCUUGACACCGCAAACACUGUCGCACCUACUCCUCAGAACACCACAGUAGCGACAGACGUCAAAUUUGAACGUUUUCACCGAGGUGAGACUCAUUCUAAGGUUCACACGACUGAUCAGUCGGUGGGGCAUUUUCCUGGUGUGUGCUCACACACCUGGGACUGUACCACUGAAUGCACCGUAGACGACCUCACAGACUACCACACUUCAUACAAGCCUAACGCUGACAUGCUGUCACACUAAGUCCGUGCCAUACCUGACCUGUACUGGUCAUGUGGGAGUGGCCGGCUGUACCAAAGUAUGCCUGAAGGAUGGAGAGGUACAUGCGCAAGGGUUGUCUUGGCAUUCGAUGUCCUUAUUAUGCCAUACGAUGCCCCACAGCCUUAUAGGCAGAAACGCUCCAUCCCGGAUUUCUCCUCUACUCAUCCUAAUGUGUCCAUAGAUGCCAUCGGGGUGACCCGACUGGUCCCAAAUGAGCUCAAAGCAAGAAAUCAAAUCGCGGCCGGAUUUGAAUCAAGUCUGUGUUGAUGGUGCACAAUUAACAAGAAUGUAGAUUGGAUAAAUUACUUUACUUUACGCAGCAACUUUACUCUAACCUCAUGCGCGAUGCUCUCAGGGCUCUGGGAGCACAGUUGCAUGCUACCUCCCAGAUGGCCUGGCAAAAUAGGCUGGCGUUGGACAUGUUAGUGGUGGAGAAAGGAGGCGUUUGUGUCAUGUUCGGUGAUUCAUGUUGCACGUUUAUCCCCAAUAACACUGACAGCGACGGUUCUUUCACUUUAGCGUUGUCUAAACUGGAAACUCUAGCCCAAGAACUAAAAGAGAAUGCUGGGACAGAUGACUGGAUGAUUAAUUGGUUUGACUCAAUGAUCAGUAAAUGGAAGUCAGUCAUCCUGACAGCUGUGUCUGCUCUAAUCCUGACCCUAGCAGUGUUCUCCCUGGUAGGAUGUUGCAUCAUUCCCUGUAUCUGAGGUGUCAUAGGCAGGACUGUCAACACAGCUCUCACCCACCAGAUGUUGUCCCUUUCAGGAUGUUGAUUGUUUUGACCAGGUAGUUUAGAUUGAACUGUGUAUUUUCAACCUUUUUGCUUGCUCAUAACUCCAGGGUGUCUAUGUUCUACAAAAACUAGAAAGCUAAGGCUAGUUUUCUUAUUGUCAAUUGAUGAUGCGUUUGUUUAAACAGUAAAAUGAUAACAUUCGUUGAUGUACUGACAAUUUUCUAUACUUAGAAUGUCCAUAUAUGGACAGAGGGAGGAUUGUGACAGCAGAAAAUUGUUUCUUCUUACACUUAUAAUCUUUUAUGCAAGUACUUGUAAGAGUGCUAUUUUUCUCCUUUUAUUAUGUCGUAUAUAUUGAUUUAAAUCUUUAACCUGUUCCCCUCUUUAUUAUUGUUCUUGUUAUUCCAGUCUGUCCACAUGUGUGGGGUUUAGGUCAGGUAUGUGGGGUUGUUGAUUGUUUUCCUCACUAGCUGUUCUUCUCCUUCUUUUGAUCUUUUGUUCCCCA